AUUGAACGCUGGCGGCAGGCUUAACACAUGCAAGUCGAGCGGGGUGAUGGUGCUUGCACUAUCACUUAGCGGCGGACGGGUGAGUAAUGCUUAGGAAUCUGCCUAUUAGUGGGGGACAACAUCUCGAAAGGGAUGCUAAUACCGCAUACGCCCUACGGGAGAAAGCAGGGGAUCACUUGUGACCUUGCGCUAAUAGAUGAGCCUAAGUCGGAUUAGCUAGUUGGUGGGGUAAAGGCCUACCAAGGCGACGAUCUGUAGCGGGUCUGAGAGGAUGAUCCGCCACACUGGGACUGAGACACGGCCCAGACUCCUACGGGAGGCAGCAGUGGGGAAUAUUGGACAAUGGGGGGAACCCUGAUCCAGCCAUGCCGCGUGUGUGAAGAAGGCCUUAUGGUUGUAAAGCACUUUAAGCGAGGAGGAGGCUCUUUUGGUUAAUACCCAGAAUGAGUGGACGUUACUCGCAGAAUAAGCACCGGCUAACUCUGUGCCAGCAGCCGCCGUAA
rnacentral:rRNA from 1 species